rnacentral:rRNA from 1 species
GACGAACGCUGGCGGCGUGCUUAACACAUGCAAGUCGAACGGAAAGGCCCUGCUUUUGUGGGGUGCUCGAGUGGCGAACGGGUGAGUAACACGUGAGUAACCUGCCCUUGACUUUGGGAUAACUUCAGUAAACUGGGGCUAAUACCGGAUAGGAGCUCCUGCUGCAUGGUGGGGGUUGGAAAGUUUCGGCGGUUGGGGAUGGACUCGCGGGUUAUCAGCUUGUUGGUGGGGUAGUGGCUUACCAAGGCUUUGACGGGUAGCCGGCCUGAGAGGGUGACCGGCGAAAUGGGGACUGAGAUACGGCACAGAGUCCUACGGGAGGCAGCAGUGGGGAAUAUUGCACAAUGGGCGGAAGCCUGAUGCAGCAACGCCGCGUGCGGGAUGACGGCCUUCGGGUUGUAAACCGAUUUAGAAUGUGACGAAGCGUGAGUGACGGUAAUGGGUAAAGAAGCACCGGCUAACCACGUG